UGUUUUCCAAACUCUGACUAACUUCUAGCUCCUUAUAAAUUAAGAUACUCAGAAACAAAAGAUUGCUUUCAGAUUUUGUUCUGCCGACUACCACUAUGAAAUUCCUUCCCCUAAAAUGAAGCAAAGAGACUCAUGAAAACUGAAAGAGUUAGGAGUGAAAGGAAACCUCAGAGCAGAUUCAGUGUGCUCGAAGCUUUUACGCUCCUUUCUCCACCUCCUCUUCACCAUCCUGAAUGUAUGCUGUAAGAAAAUGUCGAAGGUGGAGAGUAAAGCCUGGCCAAAGAACAGGAUUCACUGAAACAUGGCGGUGGACUGUGGCAGAUGCCACGCACCUUCGCCCACUCUCCACCCACACAGGAGCAGCCGUGUACUCGGGGCAG